GGAGAUUAGCAGUGUUGACAUGGUCUUUUCCAAUCCUGAAUCAGUCUUGAACUGUCUAUGAAUUAACACAAACAUCGAGAAGUCAGCUGGAUUUGAAAGUCAAGUCCCGUAGAAGGACAAGUGUUUUCAUGGUUGAGCAUUAGCACACCCACCAUAACAGAAUAAACAUCAUAAGCAGCUGGGGCCUUUUGUGAUGUCAUCGUUCCCGGAUGUUGAGGGGCCCUAUUGUGACAUGUGCAAAUUUUCAAAGGGGAUGCCAUACUGAUUUUCUAGAAGCUGCCACUUUGAUUUGUGCUUGGACAGGCUUAUCAAUCCAAUUUAUUAGCAUUGUGGUGAAUGCAGUGGAUGACAACAGCAGAAGCCAGCAAGGAAGCAUCCUAUUCUCCAUACAAAAUUGGUUGCAGUUUCACUGGAGCACCAGGCUGGAUCCUGCUUUCGGAAACCUGAACCAGGUAGAGCAGGUGCAGUGGUCCUUGGAAAGUGUGAUACAAGCACAUCACAGGCAAUGUACAGACAAGCUCGAUCUCCAUCUCCCUGGCCGGAAAAUGUAUAGCACAUAUGGUGUCCCAUGGAAGGCUGGGCGGCCUAAACAGUAAACUGAUGUGAUGCAACAAGAAACAGCAAACUGAAAUGUUUUACCACCAUCAGAGGUCACUAUAGCUCCCUCAUGAAGCAAUAAAGGGGUGUACUAGUUCACUCAUCAAGUCCAGAGGGCAUCCCAUCAGAAACAGGGACUUGAGCCACUUCCACCAUAGACUGCAAUGGUUCUUAAUAGAAAGAGACAUUGUAACAAUGGCAGUUGGCAGCCGCCAGCGUGCAGCACAUCCUGCUAUGUACCUCAGAUGAACUGCACACAAGGCUCCUCCUCUCCGCUGCAGGCUCCGGACCCGCUUUCCUGCACUGUCGCAGGCGGCGACAGCUUCAGUUGCACCUUGCAGGAGCCGCACGCGUCCUGUUUCUUUAAGGGUUCGUGCACGUUCCUGAUUCCGCCUUCUCUCUAAUCCUGGCCAGGCACCACCUUUAUAAGGGAGCUUUCCCCUUCCUUCCCCUUCCAGCUUGUAGUUCCUGUGCCUCCUGUACCUCGCUGCCCUGAAGUGUAUGAUUUGGAUUGUCGACCAUGCCUCUGUCUGCUGUUCAGCCUGUUACACCUGCUGCACCUGAGCUAUUUAGCUCUGCUGUUCUAUAAGCUCCAGCUCUGCUUAAUCACUAACUUAGCUCUGCUUCAUCUGACUCUGCUGUUGCGCUUCUUCCAUCCAGCGACAGCUCGCUCCACCUGCCUGUAUCCCCAGUGCUUGCAUUGGGUCGUUCUGGCCUGCUCGGCCAGCUGCCACUUAACCGGGACCACUCUUGUGGUAACAACCUGGUGUCUCCCCUGCAGCUAAGACCAGCUUCUGCAUCUUGGAGCGGGAUAAAGGGUGAAGACCAGGGGAACACUUAGAUUCCGCUCCCAAGUUUGGCACAAAGCCAAACCGGUAAGUGGCACAGCAGGUCCACCCCCGUUGGAGCAUUACAGACAUUUGGUAACCCACUCCCUGUAAAUGACCACUUAGAUAGCUAUGGUGCCCGCUCAUCUCCUGAUUGGGUGCCAGCAGUCAUGGCUUCAUCACAUAAAAUCCAUGUUUAUUGCAUAUGUAUAUAAACAUUCACAGUUUUAGGUGCUCCCUAAAAGCACAUCUUUUUAGCUUAGCUAUUCCCUGAUCUAACUCUUCUCCAUUAACUGUCCCCCACACCAUCCUUCAGGAUCAUUCUUCUGAACCUGAUCCAUUGCCAAAUAUCUACAGCCCAUGCACUCAGAAGCACUAUAGAUAUUGUCUGGUGACUGGCUCAUGCAACCUUAUAUCCACUCCCCUACUGUGUUAAGAUGGCUGGACCAUUUUAAAAAUCAAGCACUUUUUGUGUCACCCCUAUUCUCCCAUAGAUUGUAAGCUCUUGCGAGCAGGGCCCUCAUUCCUCUUGUUAUAACUGAUGACCUGUUUGUUGCUAUGUUAUUUAUGACUCUAUUUGUAGAUUAACCCCCUAAUUCCAAAGAGCUGUGGAAAA